rnacentral:misc_RNA from 1 species
GAUGAAGAACGUAGCGAAAUGCGAUAAGUAGUGUGAAUUGCAGAAUUCAGUGAAUCAUCGAAUCUUUGAACGCACAUUGCGCCCCUUUGUAUCCCGAGGGGCAUGCCUGUUCGAGCGUCAUUUCACCACUCAAGCCUGGCUUGGUGUUGGGCGACGUCCUCUUUGGGGACGCGCCUCGAAACGCUCGGCGGCGUGGCACCGGCUUUAAGCGUAGCAGAAUCUUUCGCUUUGGAAGUCGGGGCACCGUCUGCCGGAAGACCUGCUCGCAAGGUUGACCUCGGAUCAGGCAGGGAUACCCGCUGAACUUAAGCAUAUCAAUAAGCGGAGGA